rnacentral:rRNA from 1 species
UACGGAGGGUGCGAGCGUUGUCCGGAAUCACUGGGCGUAAAGGGCGCGUAGGCGGCAUGCCAAGCGUGUGGUGAAAGCCCGGGGCUCAACCCCGGGUCGGCCGUGCGGACUGGCGUGCUCGAGCACUGUAGGGGCGGGUGGAAUUCCGGGUGUAGCGGUGGAAUGCGUAGAGAUCCGGAAGAACACCGGUGGCGAAGGCGGCCCGCUGGGCAGGAAGGCUCGGAAGAGCCGGCUGACGCUGAGGCGCGACAGCGUGGGGAGCAAACAGG